AAUAUUAGACAAUGGGCGGAAGGCUGAUCUAGCCAAGCCGCGUGUUUGAAGAAGGGCUUCGGAUUGUAAAGCACUUGUAUUUGGGCGGGAGGGCAGUUAACGAAUACGUAACUGGUUUGACGUUACCAAAAGAAUAAGCACCGGCUAACUUCGUGCCAGCAGCCGCGGUAAUACGAAGUGUGCAAGCGUUAAUCGGAAUUCCUGGGCGUAAAGCGCGCGUAGGUGGUUCGUUAAGUUGGAAGUGAAAGCCCCGGGCUCAACCUGGGAAUUGCUUUCAAAACUGGCGAGCUAGAGUACGGUAGAGGGUGGUGGAAUUUCCUGUGUAGCGGUGAAAUGCGUAGAUAUAGGAAGGAACAUCAGUGGCGAAGGCGACCACCUGGACUGAUACUGACACUGAGGUGCGAAAGCGUGGGGAGCAAACAGG
rnacentral:rRNA from 1 species